AUCGAACGCUGGCGGCAGGCCUAACACAUGCAAGUCGAGCGGAUGAAGCGAGCUUGCGCCUGGAUUCAGCGGCGGACGGGUGAGUAAUGCCUAGGAAUCUGCUUGGCAGUGGGGGAUAACGUCCGGAAACGGGCGCUAAUACCGCAUACGCCCUGCGGCAGAAACUGGGGGAUCUUCGGACCUCACGCUAUCAGAUGAGCUUAGGUCGGAUUAGCUAGUUGGUGGGGUAAAGGCCUACCAAGGAGACCAUCCGUAACUGGUCGGAGAGGAUGAUUAGUCACCUUGGAGGUUGAACACGCUCACGCGUCCUACGAGAGGCAGCAGUGGGGAAUGUUAGACAGUGGGCGAGAGCCUAGUACAGUCGGGCCGCGUGUGUGAAAAAGAUCUCCGGAUGGUAAAGCAGGUUAAGUUGGGGGAAAGGGCAUUAAGUUAAGACCUUGCUGUAGUGACGUUACCAACAGAAUAAGCACCGGCUAACUACGUG
rnacentral:rRNA from 1 species